UUUAUCGCUCACUAAAGGAGGAGGGUAAUUCCGUUGCAUAUUGGUACUAAUCGGGUAUGGAAUAGAUAUGCUUAUCUUUGUUCCUAUGAGUUCUAUUAUUACCAAAGAAAUUAAAUAAAUAUUCACCCUUGCUUUCGAGAUAAUUCAAAAGAUAUAGGGAGUCAUCUCAGAAAUGAUAGCAUUCAAAAGAUAAAUUAAUUAAGGAAAAAUUACAACGCCACCCCUUGGAGAACACCAUAAUUAUAAGACCACCUUCAUUUGUUUCACCAAAUUAUAUUCAGACCCUCUACCGUCCAUCACUAAUAAGAAAUAUAUCUUAUAUGCUGAUGUUAAUAAUUAUAUUUUAUUUUAAAUAUCACAAUACCCUUAUAAAAUACGUAUCUAAAAUAGCCUUGGAAUAAGAUACUAUUGUUUUCACCCAAAUCGAUGGAUUUGCUCUUAUUCCAAGACCUAAUUUACCGUUCUUCCAAAUCGUGAGAUUUGGACCAUUGGCGAUCGUUCAGGCAGUGGCGGCGACGGACGGCAACAGACGACGACCUCUCAGCGACCAGGCGAAACCCCUCUCCUCAGUUGAUCAGGUUCUAGCUGAACACUGCUCAAGAGAUCCAUCCUUUUGACUUCCCACUGAGGAUAGAAAACCACUGCGUUUCUUCUCUACAGGCGGCAACUGCUACUGUGCGUGCAACCGGAGCUCGUUCUCUGCAGGCGGCAUCUACUCUUUUUACUUUUCGGACUGAAGAAGUUCUCCCAGCGGAGUAUUGGGAAAACAGUCACAAGAAGGUAUACUGAUGUACUGCAUAAGGAGGAGCAGACCGACAAUGCCCUCUGCCAUGGUUUUAACAUUUGAUUGUUUGCAGGCGGCAACUGUUACUGUGUUCACUGGUUUUGAAUUAGUUUGUUUCAUCCCUCUAUGGCCUCUGUUAUGGUUUUAACAUUUGAUUAUUUUAGGUAUAGAUUGGUUCUAGUAUGAGAAAUAUUCAUGUAAUUUCUCUUUAUUUCAAGAGCUUUGACUAUUGAUAAAUGGAAUUGGUAGAAAUGCCUCCUUACAA